rnacentral:tRNA from 1 species
AGAAGGUUGGCAGAGCGGCUAAAUGCACUCGCCUACUAAGCGAGCACUCGCUCCGGCGAGUCGAGGGUUCGAAUCCCCCACCUUCUGCCA